rnacentral:rRNA from 1 species
UACGUAGGGCGCAAGCGUUGUCCGGAAUUAUUGGGCGUAAAGAGCUCGUAGGCGGCUUGUUACGUCUGCUGUGAGAUCCCAGGGCUUAACCCUGGGCCUGCAGUGGAUACGGGCAGGCUAGAGGCAGGCAGGGGAGAACGGAAUUCCCGGUGUAGCGGUGAAAUGCGUAGAUAUCUGGAGGAAUACCGGUGGCGAAGGCGGCAUCCUGGACCAUAACUGACGCUGAGGCGCGAAAGCUAGGGGAGCAAACGGG